rnacentral:rRNA from 1 species
AGGAUAAACGCUGGCGGCGUGCCUAACACAUGCAAGUCGAACGCGCUUUUUUCGCAAGAGGAGAGCGAGUGGCGGACGGGUGAGUAACACAUGGGUACCUACCUUGGAGUGAGGGAUACCGGCGAGAAAUCGCCGACAAUACCGCAUACGCUUCUCUUCACCGGGAAGCAAAGUUGCGCAAGCGACGCUCUGAGAUGGGCCUGUGGCCGAUUAGCUAGUUGGUGGGGUAACGGCCUACCAAGGCGACGAUCGGUAGCUGGUCUGAGAGGACGAUCAGCCACACUGGGAUUGAGAACGGCCCAGACUCCUACGGGGGGCAGCAGUGAGGAAUUUUCCGCAAUGGACGCAAGUCUGACGGAGCAACGCCGCGUGCAGGAUGAAGGUUUUCGGAUCGUAAACUGCUUUUCUCGGGGACGAGCAAGGACGGUACCCGAGGAAGAAGCCCGGACUAACUACGUGCCAGCAGCCGC